rnacentral:rRNA from 1 species
UACGAAGGGGGCUAGCGUUGUUCGGAAUUACUGGGCGUAAAGCGCACGUAGGCGGGUCGUUAAGUCAGGGGUGAAAUCCCAGAGCUCAACUCUGGAACUGCCUUUGAUACUGGCGACCUAGAGUUCGGAAGAGGUUAGUGGAAUUCCCAGUGUAGAGGUGAAAUUCGUAGAUAUUGGGAAGAGCACCAGUGGCGAAGGCGGCUAACUGGUCCGAUACUGACGCUGAGGCGCGAAAGCUAGGGGAGCAAACAGG